UACGGAGGGGGCUAGCGUUGUUCGGAAUUACUGGGCGUAAAGCGCACGUAGGCGGCUUUGUAAGUUAGAGGUGAAAGCCCAGGGCUCAACCCUGGAAUUGCCUUUAAGACUGCAUCGCUUGAACAUCGGAGAGGUAAGUGGAAUUCCGAGUGUAGAGGUGAAAUUCGUAGAUAUUCGGAAGAACACCAGUGGCGAAGGCGACUUACUGGACACGUAUUGACGCUGAGGUGACGAAAGCGUGGGGAGCAAACAGGAUUGAGAUAGUCCGGGGUAGUCC
rnacentral:rRNA from 1 species